rnacentral:rRNA from 1 species
UAGGGAAUCUUCGGCAAUGGGGGCAACCCUGACCGAGCAACGCCGCGUGAGUGAAGAAGGUUUUCGGAUCGUAAAGCUCUGUUGUAAGAGAAGAACGUGUGUGAGAGUGGAAAGUUCACACAGUGACGGUAACUUACCAGAAAGGGACGGCUAACUACGUGCCAGCAGCCGCGGUAAUACGUAGGUCCCGAGCGUUGUCCGGAUUGAGUGGGCGUAAAGCGAGCGCAGGCGGUUUAAUAAGUCUGAAGUUAAAGGCAGUGGCUUAACCAUUGUUCGCUUUGGAAACUGUUAAACUUGAGUGCAGAAGGGGAGAGUGGAAUUCCAUGUGUAGCGGUGAAAUGCGUAGAUAUAUGGAGGAACACCGGUGGCGAAAGCGGCUCUCUGGUCUGUAACUGACGCUGAGGCUCGAAAGCGUGGGGAGCAAACAGG